rnacentral:rRNA from 1 species
GAUGAACGCUGGCGGCGUGCCUAAUACAUGCAAGUCGAGCGAACAGACGAGGAGCUUGCUCCUCUGACGUUAGCGGCGGACGGGUGAGUAACACGUGGAUAACCUACCUCUAAGACUUGGAUCACUUCGGGAAACCGGAGCUACUACCGGAUACUAUAUUUAACCGCAUGGUUCAAUAGUUGAAGACGGUUUUGCUGUCACUUCUAGCUGGAUCCGCGCUGCAUUAGCUAGUUGGUAAGGUAACGGCUUACCAAGGCAACGAUGCGUAGCCGACCUGAGAGGGUGAAGGGCCACACUGGAACUGAGACACGGUCCAGGGUCCUACGGGAGGCAGAGGUAGGGAAGCGUCCGAAAAGGGCGAAAGCUUGAAGGAGCAACGCCGCGUGGGUGAUGAAGGGCUGCGGAGCGUAAAACUCUGUUAUGGGGGAAGAACAAAUGUGUAAGUAACUAUGCACGUCUUGACGGUACCUAAUCAGAAAGCCACGGCUAACUACGUG